UACGUAGGGUGCAAGCGUUAAUCGGAAUUACUGGGCGUAAAGCGUGCGCAGGCGGCUAUGCAAGACAGAUGUGAAAUCCCCGGGCUCAACCUGGGAACUGCAUUUGUGACUGCAUGGCUAGAGUACGGUAGAGGGGGAUGGAAUUCCGCGUGUAGCAGUGAAAUGCGUAGAGAUGUGGAGGAACACCGAUGGCGAAGGCAGCCUUCUGGGCCAACACUGACGCUCAUGCACGAAAGCGUGGGGAGCAAACAGG
rnacentral:rRNA from 1 species